rnacentral:rRNA from 1 species
UACAGAGGUCCCAAGCGUUGUUCGGAUUCACUGGGCGUAAAGGGUGCGUAGGUGGUGAGGUAAGUCGGAUGUGAAAGCUCGGAGCUCAACUCCGAAAUGGCAUUGGAAACUACCUUGCUCGAGGGUUGGAGGGGGACUGGAAUACUUGGUGUAGCAGUGAAAUGCGUAGAUAUCAAGUGGAACACCAGUGGCGAAGGCGAGUCCCUGGACAACUCCUGACACUGAGGCACGAAAGCCAGGGGAGCAAACGGG